rnacentral:rRNA from 1 species
CGGCGGACGGGUGAGUAACGCGUGGGGAACCUGCCUCAUACAGGGGAAUAACAGUUAGAAAUGACUGCUAAUGCCGCAUAAGCGCACAGUACCGCAUGGUACAGUGUGAAAAACUCCGGUGGUAUGAGAUGGCCCCGCGUCUGAUUAGGCAGUUGGCGGGGUAACGGCCCACCAAACCGACGAUCAGUAGCCGACCUGAGAGGGUGACCGGCCACAUUGGGACUGAGACACGGCCCAAACUCCUACGGGAGGCAGCAG